UGCCACUGAUCUAUGCUGGGCAGCUGUUCUGUGGCUGUGAUCAGCCUUGCUGAACUUCUCUGAGGGUUUGCUAUGGACUUUUCCUGACAGAUGCCUAGAAAUAGAGUGCUUCUUCUCACACCGUGCUUCAGAGGCUGUGCUGGUGCCUUGCUCUACAAAGUAACUGUCAGCAUUGGCUGGAGCCUCCUCAGCUUCCAAAG